CCCUUAGAUGUUCUGGGCCGCACGCGCGCUACACUGAUGCAUUCAACGAGUUUUUCCUGGUCCGAGAGGAAUGGGUAACCUUUUGAAAGUGCCUCGUGCUAGGGAUAGACUAUUGCAAUUAUUGGUCUUCAACGAGGAAUUCCUAGUAGACGUAGUUCAUCAGACUGCAUCGAUUACGUCCCUGCCCUUUGUACACACCGCCCGUCGCUCCUACCGAUUGGAUGAUCCGGUGAGCUAUUCGGACCUUCGCUUCGUCGAUUUUCGGCUUUGUGAGGGAAAGUCUCGCGAACCUUAUCAUCUAGAGGAAGGAGAAGUCGUAACA
rnacentral:rRNA from 1 species